CCUGUGGCAAGAAGAUGGGGUGUGCACUCCACAAAGAAUUAAAUGAUCAAAAAGGUAUGACAUAUGUCUACCUCAUUGAUAUACUUGGUUCUCUUGGCCAAAUGCCCUCUCACUGCACCUCACUGCAACAUUAAUAUCUAAGAGUGAAAUCUUAUAGUCAGUCCCCUUUUCAUAUGAGAAGAUGAACUUAGGUUAACAGACUUGUCCAAGGUCACACAACUCAAUAAAUAUUAUUAAACAUUUUAAUAAAUAAAGAUUAUUCAAACUCCCAUGCCACACUGACUCCACUGGACUUCACUGUCUUUGUCCAUUGGUUGCCUCUGCUUUCCUAGUCUUUGUUAUCUAUAUCCUCGUGUAUAUUUCCUUUUGGUCUCAUCUCCCCUGUUACAUGGUAAAUUCCCGUUCUUCUCCCCUCAACCCACUGAAUUAAGCUAGGAGGGACCCCAGAGAUCUGACUCAGACGCAGCUGGUUACCCCUGCAACAGCCAUUCACCUGUCUUCCCUCGCUAACAGAUCGUGGGCUUUGUCCAAGAGACAAUGGGCUGGGCUUUGGGAAUGAAUGGCGAUUGGUCUAAGGAUAGGCAUGUGACCCAGUUCUGGCCAAUGGGAUGUAAGGAGUAAUCGGUCAUGGAGCUUCUGGGGCUCCCGCGGCAUAGAGAGGUGUGGGAAAGAAUAGUGCCUUUCUGCUCCCUUUGUUCUAGCUUGAAACUGAGUCCUGGGAGGACAGGACGGCUGCCACACUAACCACCUCAUUGGGAAUGCUGGAGUAAGACCAUUGAACCUCCGCAAGAUUAAAGCUGUGAUUCAGUAGAAGGAGCACAGGAUUUGGAAGAACUACUACCCACCCAACUCUGCAACCGUCCAAACACCAUGCAAGUUUGAGUACUAGCCCCGCACUUGAGAGAGUCGAUUAACCUGUUUGAGCGGUAGUUUCCUUGUACGUAAAGGCCCGCUGGACCUCUGGAACUGGUUUUGUGAGUCCGCGUUCAUUUUAAUUCCAUUAGCAAACUUGGACUUGCUGGUGCUGACUACUGAUUCUUGAUGACAAAGUGAAAACGGAUGCAAAGUUUUACAGCGAGUUUGUAACCUGUAAGGGGACUCUGUGUCCCUCCAGCAAGGCCCUUAAAAAGCAAGCUCUCAGAGGCUGGUUACUGGAUGCCAACGUGCGGGGCCAGAAAGACCAUCUAACAAAAGCGGUUUAAAAGAGACUUGACAACGGUGUUUUACCCAGAGCAAAGUGUGCCCAAACAUUUCAAACCAGAGCUGUCGACAAAGAAUGUGUUUGCAAACCAGACAGAAUUUAAAAUAAACUUCAGCCGGCAAAUGA